AACGUGUUUUUCUUUACAAACAUGUUAUAUUAAAAAAUAAAAGAGUGUUUUACAUGAAUUAUUUCACGGCAUCUCGUAUCUGACUUCAUCUAUCAGAUAAUAUGCUGCGCAUAGAUUUAAAAAACUUAAAACAAAAUUGUCUAAAAAAAGUUAACACUUUUACAAGACAUCAACAUACAAAUCUUAACAGAAGAGUUGAUGUAUCUUUAUUGGAAAAUAUUGUUUUUUUUAACUAUAUAUCAAAAGGUUGUUUGUGUCAGGUUGUUCGAAAAAAGGAGAACCAUUUUGCUCUCAGAGUGUUUUUCAAGUUAGAGGUUAGGCAAACAUUUCUUAUUUUAUAAAAUUUAUGUAUGAAAGAACAAUGUUUGUGAAGAAAUCUAAAACAUGCAAAACUAAAAAAUGCGAUUUUAAAAAAUAGGUAUUUUUUUUCCUUUAUGUAAUAAAGCAGUAAAUAAACCACACAAACCAACUUUGGAAUUAACAUCUCAAGGUCAACAUCAAGUUUAAAAAAAUGUUGACAGUUGUUUAUAAAAUUUCGUUAGCAAUACACAGUCCUCUUUUACCAAAAUGCAUAACGUGUAUUAGGACGAGAAUCUUAAUCAAAGAAAUGCUAUAUUAUAGACGUGUGUCACAAUGACCAAUGAUUCACAUCAUUCUCAAUAACAAAUAUAAUACGAGUGGCUUGAUACAUGUAUUGUAUGGAUUUUUUUCAAUAUUGAUAUCACUAAAGCAUAAUAGUUUAAACCAAAAAAUAUAUAUUUCUAAAAGAUUCUAAGCAAUUUGCAGCUUCUAUAAUAAGCUUGAAAUCAGGCUUUUAACGGGAGGAAAUUCAGUAAGACAUAUCCCAUUGAUCUCAAUGCAAAUCUGUGAUUUAAAUUCAUAAAAAUGUAUAUCUGGAAUACCUUUAGAAAUUAGAAUUGUUCACGUAUAAUUCAUCAAAGAACAAAUAUAACCCUUUUGCUACAAUACAAACAUAAGAGUCACGCGGCAUAUUUUGCCAUUCAUAUGACCAUUUUAACAAAUAAUGUUGAUUCGCACAUAAUUCCUAUACUGACCCCAUAACUGUUCAACCCUUUAACACAAAUAAUUGCUUUUUAAAGUAUUCAUUUUUUUCUCUAGUUUUAGUCGAUCUAUCAAACAAUAUCUAUUACAAAAAUUAAAUAUCAAUCAAUAUAAUGACUUCAGGGCUAUACAGAAAGCUCUCCCCUAAAUGGACGGUUUCUGAUGGCGUAUAAUUAUUUACUGAAUUUACCCCUUUUGACUCCCAUACUUAAAUAUAAUUGUUUACUUUGAAAUCAGUUUUUCUCUGGCGGAAAGUUGUCAUAUUGGUAAUCACACCAUAUCUCCUAUUAGUAUAAUAUUCAAAUGAUUUCAACAAUACAAGUAGAAAUUUUCAUAAAAAUGGUAGGGUUACAAGAUAAAGCUACAUAUUUGCACAAAACACAUAUAAGGUAUGUUAUCAACAAUUAUGAUCUCAUUACAAACGUGCAUGCAUUUCUUGAGAAA
rnacentral:lncRNA from 1 species